GACGAACGCUGGCGGCGUGCUUAACACAUGCAAGUCGAACGAUGAAGCCUUCGGGUGGAUUAGUGGCGAACGGGUGAGUAACACGUGGGUAAUCUGCCCCGCACUCUGGGAUAAGCCUUGGAAACGAGGUCUAAUACCGGAUAUCACAACUUUUCGCAUGGAGAGUUGUUGAAAGUUCCGGCGGUGCAGGAUGAACCCGCGGCCUAUCAGCUUGUUGGUGGGGUAAUGGCCUACCAAGGCGACGACGGGUAGCCGGCCUGAGAGGGUGACCGGCCACACUGGGACUGAGACACGGCCCAGACUCCUACGGGAGGCAGCAGUGGGGAAUAUUGCACAAGUGGGCGAAAGCCUGAUGCAGCGACGCCGCGUGAGGGAUGACGGCC
rnacentral:rRNA from 1 species